UUGUAUUCAGUUACAAUGCUUUUUUGGGAAAUUUAUAAAAAUUUUGAAAAAUCUAUAAAAAUCUUGUACUUUAUGCCUCUACUUAUUGAACUCUUUAUUUCAAGCUUUUAUUAAUGAUUAUUUUUAAACAUCUACCCCUUACAAAUACAAUUAACCCUUUUCCGCCCACUUAAAUACAUAGCGCGCGGUUAGAAAUAAAAAAAUAUAUAUCUACACUAAAUAAGGAGGAGCAAUCGUGUGAAUAGAUCGAAAAAAUCAUGCAUAUUCUCUAUAGUUGUGAUAAAGGGUUAAUCGUCUAACGGUCUAUCGUCUUUUGCUCUCGAUUAGAAUACAAAAUGUGAAGAAUCCUCCUCAUGUUCUAUACUAAAACGUAUGUAAUACAAAUGAAUACAUUUACCUACUCAAAACCUUAUUCACUCAAUACCAAAUUCUUCAAUUGUUAUUAAUAAAAAUAAAAGCAUCCUUCCCGCCAUGUUAUUAAAAAUACGAAACGUCUUAACUUCGUUUAUUGUCAUUUAUUGUAUUUUAAAUAGGUAUCUCCGGGUUAUAAAGUUAUUGAAAGUCUUUAUUACGAAUGAUAAAGUACCAGAAUUAUUUACAGCCUGCUGUGAUAAAUAUCACUUGAGAUAACAUAUCAGAAAGAUAGUGUUUUAUGCGAAGUAACAUGUUUUCACAAUAACAUCCCACGCAGCGGGAGACCCCACAAACCACCUUUUACUUUACAAAUUAACAUUUCAAAUUAUUGCUUUUUUGUGUGAAAAUUGUGCGUCGUGUUUUUUUUUACUUAAUUACGUGUCUGAAAUUAUAAUUUGACCUAAACAAAGAAUAUUAAUUAAAUAAUCUGCAUUUAUAAAUAAUAAAUAGCGAUGGCGCCUCGGCAGGACAUCGUAGCCCAGCCACAGCCGAUCAGAAUAGAGCAGGGUAGGCAGCCCCCACCCCCGCCGGCGCCGGGGCGCCUCCAGCGACCCCCGCACGACAACCCUACCGUCUACAUAAACAGGCCCACGAAUAUACCUCGCAACAAUGUCAACACCAGUGAAAUCGCUCGCACGUAGGCAAACACUGUGAAUGAAAACAAAAUCGUACGUACUUCCACUGGGUAUGUUAGUUUGUCUAUGACAUGUUGUUUUUUUUUUAGAGCAAGGAUUAAUAAAUUAGUGGUCUAAAAAGCCUUAUAUUCAAAUAUUAUUAAAAUUUGCCGCUUUUUUUGACAGUGAGAUUUUCCACUUUCGAUAUUUUUAAAAACUGUUUACUGCCAAGUUUACGGUUUCUUGAAGCAUUAAUUAAAUAAAACUACUCAUAAGACAACAAUUUCGUUUUUUAGGGAUUAUUGUUGUAUGUAUUCAGAAGACUAAAAUGAGGAUAUUGUAAGAAGUACACAGUAACAAAUCAAUAUUUUCACAUAACAUUGAAUUGCCUGAAAUACACCACAAUAAAAAUAAAAACAUUUAACGUAAAUACGAUUUUGUUUGCGUCACCGACCGACCCAGGCCGCCCCUUUUAACAGGGUAUUGAAAUGAAUUUUCAAAUAAAUCCAAAUUACUUUUUAACUUUUUAUGUAAGUCUAAAUAGUUGUGAUGUCUAAAAUGUUGAAAUGUCUAGAAAUAAAUGAACGGAACAUAUUGUUCUGUACCCUUAGUACAAGUUUGCUUUACGUUUAUUUAAAGUAAUCGAAACGAGAGCGCGUUCGGUGGUCUGAUUGGUUGGUUUAUUCGAGCUGGCCAAUCAGAACGCCGAACGCGCUCUAGUUUCGAUUACUUUAAACGUAAAGCAAACUCAUACUAAGGGUACUGUAUAAAAUUACGUACCUAACGUUACUAAUUUGGUGUUAGAUAGCUAUAAGUAUGUAUAAUUAUUCAAUACCUAAGUAUCUACUUAAUAAAUAAUAUUGCCUAGUACCUAUUUUAGAUGUAGCGGAGUUUAGUAAAUAGUAGAAAUAUUGUAUUUUCUGUAUAUAAUAGAUAGAUUUUAGAAAUAUAAUAUUAAUAAAUGUAUUUGAAAUAAAAUUUAUGUUAAC